rnacentral:pre_miRNA from 1 species
UGACUGGCUCCGAUUGGAAGAAUAGUGGGUAGACCUCAGGGCAAAUAGCAUUGAGGACUACCCACUGCCCCUCCAUCAGAGCCAAUCA